rnacentral:misc_RNA from 1 species
CCCUACAGGAUACAUGCCAAAAAACAGGAAAUGUGAAGACGUUGAUGAGUGCAGUGACUCCAAUUUGAACGCCUGUGAUAAGAACGCUGCCUGUACGAACACAGAAGGAAGUUACACAUGUCGAUGUAACGUAGGCUAUUUCGGCGCUGGAUCGUUCUGCAAUGAUGAAAAUGAAUGUACCUCGGGAAAACAUAAAUGUGAUUUAAAGACCUCCAUAUGUCAAAAUACCGUCGGGAGUUACCGCUGUGCGUGCAAGAAUGGUUACAAAGAGUCGGCAGGAAAGUGUACAGAUAUAAACGAGUGUGAAGGAAAACAUGGUUGUUCUUCGAGUGCGAAGUGUGUGAACACCGUCGGCUCCUACGGCUGCCAGUGUCUGCCUGGGUACAGGGGAGACGGGUUCAAUUGUCAAGAUGUCGAUGAAUGCUCCAAGGGAGAGCGAAACUUCUGUGACAAGCUUGCCUCCUGCACGAAUACGGUCGGCUCCUACUCCUGCACUUGUCCAAAGGGUUACUAUGGAAGCGGAUUUUACUGUCAUGACAAAGAUGAGUGCCGCCGCCGAUCUGACAACAAAUGUCACUCCCGGGCAAAAUGCACCAACACCCCCGGAUCCUACACGUGUAGCUGUUUGAGUGGUUAUACAGGGGACGGGGUCAAGAGUUGCAGCAGAAAACAGAAAGUGAAGUGGAAUUGGUGGGGUUAAUCGUCUUAGAUGAGGUUUACAGGCAUUUGUGUCCAAUCUAAAUAAAUUUCAAAGUUUC